rfam:Xenopus laevis strain J chromosome 7L, whole genome shotgun sequence.
GCCACAUGAUGAGUCCAAGGCGAAUGUGACACCUUGUUCUCCGGAUGUGAACUCUGAUCUCUUUUCCUUGGGUCUGUAAUCUUGGUGCCUGUGUAGAAGUUUAUCGCUGUUGCUGUAAGGCCAGACCAACAUUACCUCUAUUUGAGGGGGGGGUCUCCCACAAUCCCACUUUGAUCUGCCCACCAGAGUGUGUGUGACGCAGAGACCAGUGGAGACCUACAUCUAUUGGAAAACCAGGCAGGGACUGGGUCAGAAUUCACAUCCCAAUAGAGAUCACAAGGAGACAUGAGCACAAGUCUUUGGUAAUCUGAUGGCG